rnacentral:rRNA from 1 species
UGAACGCUAGCGACAGGCCGUAACACAUGCAAGUCGAGGGGCGAGCACAAGGAGCAAUCUGAGGUGGCGACCGGCGCACGGGUGAGUAACACGUAUGCAACCUGCCUGUAAGCGGGGAAUAACCCGUUGAAAGACGGACUAAUACCGCAUAAUACUAAAUUACUGCAUGGUAAUUUAUUUAAACAUUUAUGGCUUACAGAUGGGCAUGCGCAUGAUUAGCUAGUUGGAGAGGUAACGGCUCCCCAAGGCAACGAUCAUUAGGGGUUCUGAGAGGAAGGUCCCCCACACUGGUACUGAGACACGGACCAGACUCCUACGGGAGGCAGCAGUGAGGAAUAUUGGUCAAUGGACGAGAGUCUGAACCAGCCAAGUCGCGUGCAGGAAGAAUGUCCUUAAUGGAUUGUAAACUGCUUUUGCAGGGGAAUAAAGUGCAUCACGUGUGAUGUUUUGUAUGUACUCUGCGAAUAAGGAUCGGCUAACUCCGUGCCAGCCGCUGC